CCUACGGGAGGCAGCAGUGGGGAAUAUUGGACAAUGGGCGAAAGCCUGAUCCAGCCAUGCCGCGUGUGUGAAGAAGGCCUUCGGGUUGUAAAGCACUUUCAGUGGGGAAGAAAGCCUUGGGGCUAAUACCCUCGAGGAAGGACAUCACCCACAGAAGAAGCACCGGCUAACUCCGUGCCAGCAGCCGCGGUAAUACGGAGGGUGCGAGCGUUAAUCGGAAUUACUGGGCGUAAAGCGCGCGUAGGCGGUCUGAUAAGCCGGUUGUGAAAGCCCCGGGCUCAACCCGGGAACGGCAUCCGGAACUGUCAGGCUAGAGUGCAGGAGAGGAAGGUAGAAUUCCCGGUGUAGCGGUGAAAUGCGUAGAGAUCGGGAGGAAUACCAGUGGCGAAGGCGGCCUUAUGGACUGACACUGACGCUGAGGUGCGAAAGCGUGGGUAGCAAACAGGAUUAGAUACCCCGGUAGUC
rnacentral:rRNA from 1 species